UGGUGAACGACGGGGAUGUUUACAACCCCAGC
rnacentral:piRNA from 1 species